rnacentral:rRNA from 1 species
GUUAUAUGGUCAAGUGAAGAAGCGCAUACGGUGGAUGCCUUGGCAGUCAGAGGCGAUGAAAGACGUGGUAGCCUGCGAAAAGCUUCGGGGAGUCGGCAAACAGACU